rnacentral:SRP_RNA from 1 species
ACUGGGCAUGGUGGUGCAUGCCUGUAGUUUUAGCUACUUGGGAGGCUGAGGCAGGAGGAUUGCUUGAGCCCAGGAGUUCAAGGUUACAGUGAGCUAUGAUUGCUACCACUGUACUCCAGCCUGGGUGACAGAGUAAAACCCUGUCUCUA